rnacentral:rRNA from 1 species
GAGUUUGAUCCUGGCUCAGAGCGAACGUUUGCGGCGGGCCUAACACAUGCAAGUCGAACGGGCUAGCAAUAGUCAGUGGCGCACGGGUGCGUAACACGUGGGUAAUCAACCCUUCAGCUUGGGAUAACGCCUUGAAAGGGGCGCUAAUACCGGAUACGGCGCGAGAAUCUUCGGAUUCUCACGAGAAAGGUUCGCAAGGACCACUGAAGGACGAGCCUGCGGCCCAUCAGCUAGUUGGUGAGGUAAGAGCUCACCAAGGCGAAGACGGGUAGCUGGUCUGAGAGGAUGAUCAGCCACACUGGAACUGAGACACGGUCCAGACUCCUACGGGAGGCAGCAGUGGGGAAUAUUGCGCAAUGGGCGAAAGCCUGACGCAGCCACGCCGCGUGAGCGAUGAAGGCCUUCGGGUCGUAAAGCUCUGUGGGGAGAGACGAAGAAAGCCCGUGAAGAGCGGGCCUUGACGGUAUCUCCUUAGCAAGCACCGGCUAACUCCGUGCCAGCAGCCGCGGUAAUACGGAGGGUGCAAACGUUGCUCGGAAUCAUUGGGCGUAAAGCGCACGUAGGCGGCUAGAUAAGUCGGGUGUGAAAGCCCUGGGCUCAACCCAGGAAGUGCAUUCGAAACUGUCUAGCUUGAAUCUCGGAGGGGGUCAGAGAAUUCCCGGUGUAGAGGUGAAAUUCGUAGAUAUCGGGAGGAAUACCAGUGGCGAAGGCGCUGACCUGGACGAAGAUUGACGCUGAGGUGCGAAAGCGCGGGGAGCAAACAGGAUUAGAUACCCUGGUAGUCCGCGCUGUAAACGAUGAGUGCUAGACGGUGGAGGUAUUGACCCCUUCCCUGUCGCAGCUAACGCGGUUAAGCACUCCGCC